UUAAAUUGAAGAGUUUGAUCAUGGCUCAGAUUGAACGCUGGCGGCAGGCCUAACACAUGCAAGUCGAGCGGCAGCGGAAAGUAGCUUGCUACUUUGCCGGCGAGCGGCGGACGGGUGAGUAAUGUCUGGGAAACUGCCUGAUGGAGGGGGAUAACUACUGGAAACGGUAGCUAAUACCGCAUAACGUCGCAAGACCAAAGAGGGGGACCUUCGGGCCUCUUGCCAUCAGAUGUGCCCAGAUGGGAUUAGCUAGUAGGUGGGGUAACGGCUCACCUAGGCG
rnacentral:rRNA from 1 species